rnacentral:rRNA from 1 species
GGAUCUUCCCACUGGGCGAAGCCUGAUGGAGCAAUGCCGCGUGAGUGAAGAAGGUUUUCGGAUCGUAAAACUCUGUUGUUGAGAAGAACGUGCGUGAGAGUAACUGUUCACGUACUGACGGUAUUCUACCAGAAAGCCACGGCUAACUACGUGCCAGCAGCCGCGGUAAUA